AUGGCAUGUGCUUUGGGGGGAGCUGGCUCCGGGACACGCAAGCUCACUGUAAAGGAGUGGUUUGUUUCCCUUUCCCCCACCUCCCCGGGGCCGGGCCCCCUCCUCCGCGUGGCCACCUCCGAAGAACACACGAUCGCUUGUUACAAGGAGGGACCUGCAGCCGCAGAGUUAGCAUCGCCUGGCCCGAUAGUACAUUUGAGAGCAAAUGACGUGGAAAAACAACAAGUUCACGGCCAUUCCAGGGCGGGCCUGAGCAGCAGCGCCCUGCUGUGUAAGCUGCCUCCUGCCCCCGCACCCGGUCCCUCUGCGGGGGGUGCGCGCGGACAGCUCCCUAUCUCUCAGGGGGCCGGGCAGUUCGCGUCUCAAGUUCCAACUUCGGUGAAUUUUCCCCAAAUCAUUCCAGAGACACAUACCAGAUAUGCUCCGGCUCCCCCGGCUCCCCCGGCUCCCCCAGCUGCCGGGACGUAUCACAUUCCUCGCUCCUCGACUGACACACUCGGCGGCUCCAAGAAAACCUACGGGAAAAAAAAAAAAAAAAAAAAAGAAAAGAAAAAAGUUGCUGCUUUCUGCUUCAUGCUUCCCGACCUGGGAAAGUGUCCUGCACAUCCUGCCAGUCUCAGUUAUCACACUGGGAUAUGACUACGUGCCUCCCCAACCAGACUUCAAGAUAUUUGAAGGUAGGGACUAUACCUUAGUCACCGCUGUGUCUCCCACACCCAGCAUGAUGCCUGGCAUAAAGUUUUGUUGAGUAAGGAAUAGAUGAAUACACUUUUACAGGUGUCGCCCAAAGAAUAAGCCACCACUCUGACUGGUGUCUUUGGCUGGGUUCGCAAAGAGGAGACAUGAGCUCUCAGCCUAGUAGCUAUAAUUGAGAAGGCAGGCCUAUACCAUGUGCAGAAAGUACAUGGUCCUCUCCUGGGCAUGAACAUGAAGGAGGGUCUUGUAGAGAAUUCCAAGCCUGUACCCAUAAGUAUCACCUGGAGGGCUUGCAGAACCUGUCCUGAUCCUACGAGGAGAGGGAAGCUGUGUUUUCACACACUCCCACUGGCUGCAGACCAGAAUUGAGGAGCAGUCUGACACUCCCCAAGAGCAAUGUUUC
rnacentral:lncRNA from 1 species